AACCCGGUGAUCUAGCCAUGGGCAGGUUGAAGGUUGGGUAACACUAACUGGAGGACCGAACCGACUAAUGUUGAAAAAUUAGCGGAUGACUUGUGGCUGGGGGUGAAAGGCCAAUCAAACCGGGAGAUAGCUGGUUCUCCCCGAAAGCUAUUUAGGUAGCGCCUCGUGAACUCAUCUUCGGGGGUAGAGCACUGUUUCGACUAGGGGGUCAUCCCGACUUACCAACUCGAUGCAAACUACGAAUACCGAAGAAUGUUAUCACGGGAGACACACGGCGGGUGCUAACGUUCGUCGUGAAGAGGGAAACAACCCAGACCGCCAGCUAAGGUCCCAAAGUCAUAGUUAAGUGGGAAACGAAGUGGGAAGGCUCAGACAGCCAGGAUGUUGGCUUAGAAGCAGCCAUCAUUUAAAGAAAGCGUAAUAGCUCACUGGUCGAGUCGGCCUGCGCGGAAGAUGUAACGGGGCUAAACUAUGCACCGAAGCUGCGGCAGCGAUAUGUAAAUAUUGUUGGGUAGGGGAGCGUUCUGUAAGCCUGUGAAGGUGUACUGUGAGGUAUGCUGGAGGUAUCAGAAGUGCGAAUGCUGACAUAAGUAACGAUAAUGCGGGUGAAAAACCCGCACGCCGGAAGACCAAGGGUUCCUGUCCAACGUUAAUCGGGGCAGGGUGAGUCGACCCCUAAGGCGAGGCAGAAAUGCGUAGUCGAUGGGAAACGGGUUAAUAUUCCCGUACUGGUGAUAAUUGCGAUGGGGGGACGGAGAAGGCUAGGCUAUCCGGGCGACGGUUGUCCCGGUUUAAGGAUGUAGGCAGGUGAAUUAGGCAAAUCCGGUUCACUAUAUGCUGAGGUCCGAUGACGAGUCACUACGGUGAUGAAGUAGCUCAUGCCCCGCUUCCAGGAAAAGCCUCUAAGCUCUAGAUUAUCAUUAAUCGUACCCCAAACCGACACAGGUGGUCAGGUAGAGAAUACUCAGGCGCUUGAGAGAACUCGGGUGAAGGAACUAGGCAAAAUGGUGCCGUAACUUCGGGAGAAGGCACG
rnacentral:rRNA from 1 species